rnacentral:rRNA from 1 species
UACGUAGGGCGCAAGCGUUGUCCGGAAUUACUGGGCGUAAAGGGUGCGUAGGCGGUUCGUUAAGUCUGUCGUGAAAUCCCCGGGCUCAACCUGGGAAUGGCGAUGGAUACUGGCGAGCUAGAGUGUGUCAGAGGAUGGUGGAAUUCCCGGUGUAGCGGUGAAAUGCGUAGAGAUCGGGAGGAACAUCAGUGGCGAAGGCGGCCUUCUGGACCAAUACUGACGCUCAUGCACGAAAGCGUGGGGAGCAAACAGG